UCAAAAAAAAAAACAGUACAUGUUUGAGACCAUGAUUAAAGCCUUAGAAAGCUACUACUAAUGGACUAGAAAACUACAACCAGGGAAAUUAGAAAACUACACAGACCUUUAAAACAGAUGUGUCAUUGGAAUUAGGGGCGGCCUUUGGGCUGUGUGUGAUAGGAGCAUAAUUAUGCGACGAUAUGAUGGUUAAUUCCCCUCUUUACUUUAUUAGUUUAUCGUAUUUUCCAUUUGAUUUAGUUAUUUUUAUGUUUAUUAGGUGUUUCGGAGCAAAGAAAGGAAUAUGAAGCAAAAGAGGAGAAAUCUUGAAGGAUUAGGAAUUCAUGUCGUGUAAGGAAAGAAUUAUGGGAUUUGCCAGAAAUUAUCAUCUAACUUCGACAGAGGAUUGUGAUCAGCUCACAUGAUCCAGACAAUGAGUUAUAUAUCAAUAGAAAGCUACAAGAGUUUACUUUCUAGAACUUUUUACGGAUCGUCAAUACCUAUUUUGUAGAAGAAGUUAUGAUCAUUUUAGUGGCCGAAGGUCAGUCUGCCCGAAUUUCUGAUUUGGACCGUAACUUCAAUUUCAAGGCCCAAUCCAAAUCAGCUGGUCCAUGGACGGAAAUUGAGGGUUCUCUAACCUAAUAUCAUCUGAUACACGAGAGGAAACGAAGAAAAAGGAGAAGUCGGGAAGAAAAGAACACAAGAAUCGGACGGAACAAGAUUGAUCUCUUCUCAAGGAUUCUCCAAGCUCGGUUAUUGUUGUCUUCCCCUUCCAUGAACUCUUUUGUGUUUUUAAUUUUCAUUAUGCGCAACUAAACUCAUAGUAGCUAGGGGGCUGUUGAAGCCCCUAGACAUGAUUCAUAACAUGCUUUGAUUUUCAAUUUGUUUUUGCAAUU
rnacentral:lncRNA from 1 species